rnacentral:rRNA from 1 species
GAUGAACGCUGGCGGUAUGCUUAACACAUGCAAGUCGAACGGAAUCUUCGGAGUUAGUGGCGGACGGGUGAGUAACGCGUGAGAAUCUGGCUUUGGGUUCCGGACAACCACUUGAAACUGUGGCUAAUACCGGAUGUGCCGAGAGGUAAAAGAGAAAUUGCCUGAAGAUGAGCUCGCGUCUGAUUAGCUCGUUGGUGAGGUAAGUGCUCACCAAGCCAGCGAUCAGUAGCUGGUCUGAGAGGAUGACCAGCCACACGGGGACUGAGACACGGCCCAGACUCCUACGGGAGGCAGCAGUGGAGAAUUGUCCGCAAGGGGCGAGAGCCUGACGGAGCAAUACCGCGUGAGGUAAGAAGGCUCUUGGGUUGUAAACCUCUUGUCUUAGAGAAGAACAAAAUGACGGUACCGAAGGAAUCAGCAUCGGCUAACUCCGUG